UACGUAGGGUGCGAGCGUUGUCCGGAAUUACUGGGCGUAAAGAGCUCGUAGGCGGUUUGUCGCGUUGUUCGUGAAAACUCACAGCUUAACUGUGGGCGUGCGGGCGAUACGGGCAGACUGGAGUACUGCAGGGGAGACUGGAAUUCCUGGUGUAGCGGUGGAAUGCGCAGAUAUCAGGAGGAACACCGGUGGCGAAGGCGGGUCUCUGGGCAGUAACUGACGCUGAGGAGCGAAAGCGUGGGGAGCGAACAGG
rnacentral:rRNA from 1 species